rnacentral:rRNA from 1 species
GUUUGAUCCUGGCUCAGAUCGAACGCUGGCGGCAUGGCUAAAACAUGCAAGUCGCACGCGAAAGUCCCCUUCGGGGGAUGAGUAGAGUGGCGAAAGGGCGAGGAAUGCAUGGGUAACGUACCCCAGGCACGGGGAUAGCUGCGGGAAACUGCAGGUAAUACCCGAUGUGACCACGAAUUCUUCAGAAAGCGUGGUAAAAGGGCGGGGAUCCUUCGGGACCUGCCGGCUUGGGAGCGGCCCAUGUCCUAUCAGCUUGUUGGUGAGGUAACGGCUCACCAAGGCGACGACGGGUACCGGGACUGAGAGGUUGGCCCGGCGCAUUGGGACUGAGACACUGCCCAGACUCCUACGGGAGGCUGCAGUAACGAAUAUUGGACAAUGGGCGAAAGCCUGAUCCAGCAAUGCCGCGUGUGGGAUGAAGCCCUUCGGGGUGUAAACCACUGUUGGGGACUACCAAGCAGAGGGAGUCAAUAGCUCCCCGCGUUGAGGAGUCCCUGAGGAAGCCACGGCUAACUUCGUGCCAGCAGCCGCGGUAAGACGAAGGUGGCAAGCGUUGUUCGGAAUCACUGGGCUUAAAGAGCACGUAGGCGGGCUGCCAAGCGUCUUGUGAAAUCCCCCGGCUCAACCGGGGAGUUGCUCGACGAACUGGCGGCCUUGAGGCAGGUAGGGGCGAGUGGAACUCUUGGUGGAGCGGUGGAAUGCGUAGAUAUCAAGAGGAACGCCGGAGGCGAAGGCGACUCGCUGGGCCUGUCCUGACGCUGAGGUGCGAAAGCCAGGGGAGCGAACGGGAUUAGAUACCCCGGUAGUCCUGGCCCUAAACGAUGUCCACUAGGCCGGAGGUUCUCUGACGGAGUUCCGGCCGAAACAAAAGCGAUAAGUGGACCGCCUGGGGAGUACGGUCGCAAGGCUAAAACUCAAAGGAAUUGACGGGGGCUCACACAAGCGGUGGAGCAUGUUGCUUAAUUCGAUCAACGCGAAGAACCUUAUCCUGGGCUUGACAUACACGGAUGCCUACCUGGAAACAGGGUCGGUUGCUCUUCGGAGUGAAACGUGAACAGGUGCUGCAUGGCUGUCGUCAGCUCGUGUCGUGAGAUGUUGGGUUAAGUCCCCUAACGAGCGAAACCCCUGUCGCUAGUUGCCAACGGUUCGGCCGGGGACUCUAGCGAGACUGCCGGUGUUAAACCGGAGGAAGGUGGGGAUGACGUCAAGUCCUCAUGGCCUUUAUGCUCAGGGCUGCAAACGUGCUACAAUGGCUGGUACAAACCGACGCUAGACCGCGAGGUGGAGCAAAUCGGAAAAAGCCGGCCCCAGUUCGGAUUGGAGUCUGCAACUCGACUCCAUGAAGUUGGAAUCGCUAGUAAUCGCGUAUCAGCUACGACGCGGUGAAUGUGUUCCUGAGCCUUGUACACAC